rnacentral:tRNA from 1 species
GCUACUGUAGUUUUAAAACGUUGGUCUUGUAAACCAAAAUCGGGAAAUAUAAUUUCCCCAGAAGCC